GCGUGUUCUCGAGUUCCGCGUGAGUACCUCGUAGCCGUGACAUCCGGGCGCAUCGCUGUUGUCAGGACUAAAGUAUUCGAGUUAUCACCUUUGCCGAUAGCAAGGUCAAAUCGGCUGGCACGCCUUAACGUUUGAAUCGGGUAUUAGCCCUUUGUGUUUGCAGGUCAGUUUUGCAUCAACAAAAGGCUCUAUAGAAAAUAAUCUAUUCUAUUCGCAAGCGCACAGAUAAAACACCUCAUUGUAGCAUUUCACCAGGAUAAGUAUUCUAGGUAUCGUUAUUUAUAAUUUUGCUCAAGGGAUCUCAAGAAAAUGAAAUUAAAUUAAGGGGCAAAAUCUAUCAAGGCAUAGACUAGAGAUAAACUUGCAAGAACAUGAUUACUAAUGAGAAACUCGUCACACAGUCACUUACUUUAGCAGGGGGUAAACC
rnacentral:lncRNA from 1 species